GUCUUGCUCUGUCACCCAGGCUGGAUGCAGUGGCGCGAUCAUAGCCCACCUCAAGUUUGAAUUCCUAAACUCAAGGGAUCCUCCUGCCUUGGCCUCCCAAAGUUCUGGAAAUACAGGCAUGAGCCACUGCACUUGCCCUCUAAUCAGUCUUUUAAAGAGCUAUGAAGUGCUCCUCACUUUUGUGCUCUGUGCAGUGUUAAAUAUACAAACAAAAUAAACUAGGAAUAAAUCGACAUCAGUGUUUAAGAAAAGUGUUACAUGUAUGUGAUGGGAUAUGAGCUAGAAUAAGGAGAGGCAGGGCACUAUAGGCUUUUAAAUUAUUAAAAUUUUGUAUUAUACAGGAAAGAAAGUUAUGAAGAAGGUGGCUUUAUUGGGACUCUCAGUUACAAGACACAGAAAUCCAACUUGAACCAGCUUAAGCAAAAAGGAAUUUAUCUUUCAUGUAACUAACCACCGAAAGAUUAGGGGUAGAGCCAGACUCAGGGACAAUGGGAUUGAGGAGUUCAAACAUCCUCAAGUCUUUGCCUUUUUCCCUCUCCUCUCUCAUCUUCACAGUCUUUUUUCUAGAUUGGCUUCAUUCCACUGGGAAGACUGGAACCACAGCCACUUAGAGCUCUGGGCAUUCUUUUGUACAAGUGCUUGAAAACAUUUCCUGCCAGCUCUAAUGAGAACUCCUGUGGCCAGGAACAAGGCUACAUGUAAAACCACCAGAAGUGAAGGUGUGGAGACCAUUAUCAGUUGUAAGGCCCAAAGUCUGACUUGGGAAAUGGGGAAGAAGUCAUCAAAACACACAUUUUUGCAACCGGGCUGUCUACUGUUGCACUCAAACUCUUUCUGCUCAUCUUUCCACACGUGCUCUGCUGCCACCAUGUAGACCAGCAAACGGAAGACAAACACGACAGCCAGCCAAAUCCAUCCAGUCCCAGUGGAGUAUUUAUUUACUCCACUCAGGAGAUCUCUGAGGAACAUCCAACUCAUGACUUAGGCUCAAAAGAAGGCAAGACUCUGCAAAAUAAGACAAUUUCAUCAGGAUCCAUUUAUUUCUAUUCUACAGAUCGUUUCUACUAUUUGAGGGAUUAUGUAAGAUAAAUUACAAUUUCUGCAUUAUAACAACUCUGGUGGUUUAGGGCUCUCUAAGAAUCCCGAAGGAUAUGCUGUCUUACAUACAAGGAGAUGAUACAACUGGCCCAUGGACAUAAUUAAUCCCAUGUCCACUUUAAUUUGAGAUUUGGUUGGUCAUCUACCCCACCGCCCACUACCCCAUUUUCAAACAAUUCUGUGGUUGGCAAAAUCUUUCUAGUUUAUUGCUUCCCUCUAAAGAUGGAUGGGUCAUGUUACUGAUAUGAAGAGAAUUAGACAUGAAUAUCAAGGUGAUCCUGGUAUCUUGAGAUGUCCUUCACAUACCAGAUUGUUGACGCUAUAGUCUCUACUCACUUUCUCUAAUUCGUUAAUGCCCUUCCCAGUCCUUAAGGUUUAUUACCUGCCCCUGCUUCUUCUUGGUUCCCAUAUCCCAUAUCAGCAGCUCAGCUUGCCACCAAUUUGAUAAUGAAAAGUGAAGCUCCCCAAUACAAAUUUCCUUAAACUCUGCUCCUUCACCCUCCAGACUGACAUAUUCAUACCAAAUUUACCUUCUUUACCCAGUUUGGAAAGAGAGUCUCCCUCUUCUUACCCCAAAAUAAUCAUUCACGCUCUAUAUCCCAUUCUUGAUCUAUCAGUUUUCUGUGUUUUGUAUUCUGUGGUCUUCAAUCUCCCGUCUCCUUUCUCUCAGUAUACAAAUAUGCUUAAGUGUUGUCCAUUUUUAGUGGGGGAGAGGGAGAAUCUUCAUAGCUUAUCUUGUUGACAGUCUUUCUUCCUUUAUUCCUCAUUUCUACUUCCUCAACUGUUAUUUACUCCUCAACUCAUUGAGUCUAGUUUUUCUGCUCAUCAUUGUACUUAACGUUUAUGCUAAAGUUAGCACUGUCAUGCAACUGCCAAAUCUUCUGGACACUUGGAUUUUAUGUAAUUUUCCUGUGACAUUUGACACUGUUGCCUGUGCUUGCAUUCCUGAAACUUCUUCAGACUUGAGUUCUAUACCACUCUACCCUCUCUUCUUGUUUCACGCCUCCUGAUUCUUUCAUCUUCGUUUUUGUUGUCCACCUCUUAAGAAUUCUGUCCUUUGCUCUUUUCUUACUCUUUAUGCUCUCCCUAGAAAAUCUCACUCAUCCCCAUGGAUUCGACUUCUGCUUUCACCUUCCUGACUCUCCCUAAACCUACACAGCUCCCUGCCUCAUGAUGAUCAUCUAAAUGUCCCACAAGAAUUCUGAACUUGAUACAUCUACAACUGAAUUUAUUCUUUUCCUUGCCCUUCAACUUCAUUCUUAUUGAAUGGCAUCACCAACACCCAAGCGCCUGUCAGAAAUCUCAUAUUCAUCCUAGACUCCUCUCUCAUGACCUUUUUAAUUGCCCACAAAGUUCUUCAGAUUCCUCCUAAAUGCAUCUCAAAUCCAUCUCCAGGUCACUGCUGAAAUCUCUGUCACUCCUACAACUCUCAUUAGGUUCUAUUUCCAGUCUCAUUAUCUCCUUCCCUCCCCUUCUAGUACAUCCACGAUGCUAUUUAAUUCUCUUAAACUUCUUCGCAUCUCUUGCUCUUUUCUCAAUAAAAGCUAAUAAGAAUCUGAAGAGCCUUCUUUUUCAUUUCGGUGACAUUUUCUUUCUGGCACUGACUGCUUCCAUCUUAUCAUUGAACUUCGUGGGAUGGGCCUGAUUCAUUGUUUGUUGGGUCCAUGAUAUGCUCAGAACUCUGUUCUGUGCUUUUGAGUUGAUCUCUCAAAACCACUCUGAAAGGUGGUUUUUGUUUUUGUUUUUGUUUUGUCUUUGUUUGCCUUAUGAUGGUGGUGGUUUUAUUCUUGCAAAUGAAAAGGCAGACUCAGAAAUGAAGACACUUUCUCAAGGUCACAAAGUAAGAUGCAGAGCAGGGCUCAAGUCUAAUUUCCAUUAACUGACAGCAAGGUUUCUCAACACUUGCACCAUACACAUUUUGGGCUGAUUAAUUCUUUGUUUCAGCAGCUGUCCUGUGCAUUGUAGGAAGUUUAGUAGCAUCUCUGGCUCCUAGCAGCUAGAAACCAGUAGCCAACCCUGUCCCCUACCAUUUGUGACAACAAAAAAUGUCUCCAUAUAUUUUCAAAUGUCCCCUGGAGAGAGAAGACAAAAUCUUCCCAGUUGAGAGCCACUGCUUUAACUUUCUACCAUAACCUGUAGAUAUGGGCUAGAGCUCCAGGCCUGCCAUGAAUUUACUUUAUAAUUUCUCAGGUGAAAACUUUGCCUUUUCAGGUCCUGUUUCCUAUAGUACAAUAAUUAAUACUUCUUGUUUUCUGCAUAGACUCAGCCAAAAGAGAAUCAUGGAAAUGGUGGUGUGAGUGGAAACGGGGAGUUAAGAAAACUGAGAUGUUCCAACAGCACACAUGUUGGGAGCAUAAUACAUGUUCUCUUACAGAGGAAGCAAUAUAGAGCAAGCCCACAUUCCAGAGCCCUGAGAAGGCAAAUGAAGGCUAAGAGGUAUUUUCAGGGAAAACAAAGCUACAUGUACACAAUGCCCUAUUCAGCAGGGAAUAAAUACUUCAAUGUCCUUGGUUUUCAGAACACAAACAAAAUUGUAUUAAAUAAAAAGGAUUCUUAAGCCUACCGGAAA